AGGAAAGCAGGGGAUCGCAAGACCUUGCGCUUUUGGAGCGGCCGAUGUCUGAUUAGCUAGUUGGUGAGGUAAAGGCUUACCAAGGCUUCGAUCAGUAGCUGGUCUGAGAGGACGACCAGCCACACUGGGACUGAGACACGGCCCAGACUCCUACGGGAGGCAGCAGUGGGGAAUUUUGGACAAUGGGGGAAACCCUGAUCCAGCCAUGUCGCGUGAGUGAAGAAGGCCUUCGGGUUGUAAAGCUCUUUCAGCCGGAACGAAAAGGUUACGGUUAAUACCCGUGACUAAUGACGGUACCGGAAGAAGAAGCACCGGCUAACUACGUGCCAGCAGCCGCGGUAAUACGUAGGGUGCGAGCGGUAAUCGGAAUUACUGGGCGUAAAGCGUGCGCAGGCGGUUUUGUAAGUCAGAUGUGAAAUCCCCGGGCUCAACCUGGGAACUGCGUUUGAAACUACAAGGCU
rnacentral:rRNA from 1 species